CAACGGCCCGAAGGGUGAGGAGCGAAGCGACGAAUAAUCCUUCCCCCACCACCA
rnacentral:sRNA from 2 species